rnacentral:rRNA from 1 species
AUAUCAAUAAGCGGAGGAAAAGAAACCAACAGGGAUUGCCCCAGUAACGGCGAGUGAAGCGGCAACAGCUCAAAUUUGAAAUCUGGCCCUCUUGGGGGUCCGAGUUGUAAUUUGUAGAGGAUGCUUCGGUGUCGGCCCCGUGCCAAGUUCCUUGGAACAGGACGUCCGAGAGGGUGAGAGCCCCGUAUCGGCUCGGGUGGCCUUCGCCGUGUGAAGCUCCUUCGACGAGUCGAGUUGUUUGGGAAUGCAGCUCUAAGCGGGAGGUAUAUUUCUUCUAAAGCUAAAUAUUCGGUGUCACCGAUAGCGAACAAGUAGAGUGAUCGAAAGAUGAAAAGCACUUUGGAAAGAGAGUUAAACAGCACGUGAAAUUGUUGAAAGGGAAGGCUCUUGCCCCCAGACUUGCCCGCGAUCGUUCAGCCUUCCUUUUGGGUGGUGUAUUCGUCCGCGGGCGGGCCAGCAUCAGCUCAAGCGGCCGGAUAAAUACCUUGGGAAUGUAGCUCCUCACGGGGGAGUGUUAUAGCCCUUGGUG